UCGAAGGCAUUUUGCAGAACUGUUUAACAUCACAGUCAGUCUUUAGUGGUACUUCGCGCUUCUUGCUGGUGCACGUACCUACGUUCGCUAUAAUAUUGAGCUACAAUACAAACAUCAAAACAACAGUCUGUAGAUAAGACAGCAAAAAAAAAAAAGUAACGUUCGUUCGUGUUUAAAUAGUAACCGAAUAAACAAGCAACCGUUCAAUCGAUUUGUAAAAAGUAAAGUAAAAAAUUUUAAUACAAUACAAUCGUUUAAUGAAAUAAAUAAAAAAAUAAUAAAAAAAAACCUAAAGAAAAUAAAAGACCGUCGCUUUAACAUUUGUGUUGUUAACGGACAAUAAGAUUACAAAUAAAUAUAAAAAUUUGGAAAAAAAAUCAAAGUUAAAAGACACAGUCAUGUAAAUUUCGAUUUUUUUGGGUGUUACAUUUUGACAACGGCAAACUACAACAACAAUAACAAACAACUAAUACUAUGUUAUUUUAAUAGUAUAUAUGUAAUAGUUAUAUACUUGUGUUUAUUUAUACAAUACACAUCCAAUACAAACAAUUCAUACAAUAAAGGUGUGGUUUAGCAAGACAAACAAAUACAUAAGUUUUGAAAAAAAAUCUAUAAUAAAUAUAAAAAACAAAACAAACAGACUCUGUUAAUAAACAAAUGAGAUUAGAGCACAAAAGUAUUUUAAAUAUAUUAUAAGCAAAAAAAAUAUAUAUAUAAUAAUUAAACGCAUUGGAGAAAAAAGUGCUAAAGUAAGAAAAAUUUAAAAUUAAUAAAGCGAAAAAAAUAAAAGAAGAAAUUUUAAUCUUCUUGGUAGCUGCUAAUAAAGACGUAUAAGAAAUUUAUGCAUUUUUAUAAUUUUUUCCUGACAACUGUAAAUAAUAAAACGUUAAGCUGGAUUUCCAUAGCAAUAGCUUUUUUUCCACCCCACAUUCUUCUUCAAUGAUGAAUCAGGAUAAUCCAUAUGCGGU